AGGGAGGCAUAGGGAGAGAUGGAACGAUGGGAAGUUGGGAUCAGAGCGGGAUCAUGGAGUUUUUAAGUAAAAAACACUGAACUCUGGCAGAUACUGUGGAGCUCAGUACAUGCCCAAUCCUAUGUGUGGCUGAGACAGAAUGGAGAAGACCAUGGUACUGAAAGAGUUUGAGAUAGCCUCAGUGCAGGGCAGGAGAGGAAAGAGGAAAGGCACCCUGCCUUCCCCAUGGCUGCUCUAGGAUGCUUUCACGGGUUGCUAGGAGACGGGAAACAGCCACCCUUUGUGUCCUGAGGGCUCUGCAGAAAAGCCCCGCUUUCCUCGGGAGACCUUGGCUCCUCGCCUCUGAUCCAAGGUCGGAGAAUGGGGAUAACGGCAAUCGUGCACCUUCAGGCUGCUCCAAGAAGCUCGUGAUGGGCUGCUGAGGCCACCAGCCACUCUCACAUACUUCCUGGGCACCCCAACACCAGCCCUGUGUCUAGCUUUGACCAUACUGGUCCCCUUGUGACGGCACCGCUGAGCAUGACGUGACUGAGGCUUACGGACCUGUCAGGUACAGAUCUGCUCUGCCACAAGAGAGUCCAGCCAAGUAAAACAAGAUUCAAGAUCAGAGGGACCAUUUACUUCAACUUAUGGAACUUGAAGGAUCAAGUUCUCACACUAAAACAAGAUGAGGAACAACCUAUAUUUGAGGAUAUGAAUGACACUGAAAUUAAUGAAUACGUGCUCCUUGAGACCGGAACAACCUCCAGGAAGUGAUGCAGAGCGAGAGGAGCAGAACCAGGAGAACAUUGUACACAGAGACUGAUACACUGUGGCACAAUCGAAUGUAACAGACUUCUCCAUUAGUGUCAGUGCAGUGAUCCUGAACAAUCUGCAGGGAUCUAGGAGAAAAAACACUAUCCACAAGCAGAGGACAAACUGUGGGAGUAAAAACACCGAUGAAAAGCAACUGCCUGAAUACAGAGGUUGAGGGGACAUGACAGAGGAGAAACUCUAAAUGAACACUCUAAUGCAAAUGCCAACAACAUGGAAAUGGGUUCGAAUCAAGAACACAUGUGAUACCCAGUGGAAUCACACGUCAGCUAUGGGAGGGGUUGGGGGGGAGGAAAAGAAAAUGAUCUUUGUCUCCAAUGAUUAAUGUUUGGAAAUGACCAAAUAAUGUUAAAAAAGAAUACGUGCUCCUUGAAAUCAGAGGCUGGCUGGCUUUCUAUUUUGUAUUCCCAGUGAUUUUCACAUAAUAAAUGCUUAUUUAAUGUAUUUUCAUUCACAAAUUCAUUUAAAAAUGCUUCACAAUCUGGCUUUCAACCUCAUCACUCAAUUGAAAUGUUUUUCUCCAUAGUUAACAACUCUUUAAUUGUCAGAUCUAAGUAUACUUUCUCAGUUUCCAUCCAUCUUAACCUCUCUGCAGCACCUAACACUGUUGAUUACCCUCUCUUGGACAUUUUCUCUUUUCUGGGUUUUUGUGAUACUGUUCUUCUAGUUCUUCUCUUACCUAUCUGACCACUCUUUCUCAGUUUCUUUUGCUGGCUCAUCAUCCAUAUCAUUCCCCCUAAGAGUGCAGUCCAAAGUUCUGUCUUGGGUGCUUUUCUCUUUUUAUUAUCAUUAUCCCCCAAGUCUUUGUCCUGGGACUUCUUCUUUUCUUCCUCUGUACCCUAGCCCUUCAGUUCCCAAGGGUUAAAUUAUCACCUCUAUGCAGAUGACUCACAGAUUUAUUAUUAGUCUCUCUUGAGCUCCAGUCCUGUAUUAACAACUAGCUAUUAAACACUUCAAACUGAAUGUCCUAUAGACAUCCUGAAUACAACAUAGCCAAAUCAGGACUCAUCUUUUUCCACCCUCUUCUGAAUUGCCCAAUUUCUUUUGAGGACACCAUCAUUCUUCCAGCCUCCCAGAUUUGUAUCUUCAUCAUUAAUCUCAACAUCUCAUUCCCUUUGGUGGUGAUGGUUGUCCAUCAAACUCAAAGAGGAAUCACACACACACGUGCACAUUCACAAUAAUGGAAAUUCAUUGAAAGAAGAGACUUUUAUUUUUAAUCUUUGUAUACCCUAGAUGCCUAGAACACAAAUACUUGGUGAUUGAUUAAUUAAUUGGAUAAUGUACCUUCUAUGUACAUGUACAUUCUAUGUACUGUGAAACAAAAUGUUUCACAGUAAAGGGCUGAGGACAGAGUCCUGUAAAGCAGCCCUAGAUAGGCUUGUCCCUUUAAUUUGACACUGACCACACUCAUUUUUUUGAAUAUCAUGUUUACCUACAAUGAUAUGAUUUUUUUUUUUUGGUUUUACAUGGUUUUACUUUAUUCAGUUUGGAUGUAAUCUCUUCCAGAGUUAACUCUACUUCAGCUUGUAGAUGAAAUAAAAAUGUAGAAAGGUCCACUUCGCACUGUUGGCACAUUUGUGGGCAUCUCUUCCCUUAUUCAACUCAGGUUUAACUAGCACAAAGAAUUUAGAUUCCAGUUUCACAAAGCAGUCAACUGUAGAAAAGUCUAUCGGAAGAGUCAUAUGCUGAAAAGUAACCUAAUACCAGUAAUGAUCUCUACAAUGAUUCUUGAGGUACAAGUUACUGUAAUUUGAGUUUAAAAAACAGACCAAGAGGAAUUCUCUCAAGUGGGUUUAAAUGAGUUUUUUAUUUUAGACAACCUACAUGACAUGUUUUUAAAAACGAUGCCUCCACUCCAGAUAAAUCAGGUCAAAAAUAAAUGAAUAAAGCUCAAGAUGAUAUCAGUCCAAAUUUGUCCAAGUCCUGGUGAUGUGUAGAUGACAAAAAGCAGCAGCCAGUUAUGAUGACAGGUGAUGCAAAGUAAUCAGCUGAAUUUGUUAACAUUUCUCCAUUUCUAAACCAUCCUUAAAGAAAAUCACAUAUGGGGUCACACCAUCCUCAUGGAAAUCCAAGAGAGCCACCAUGCCAUCUGGAUUCAUGUUUUUGCCUAUGAAGAACUGAUAGUUAUUAAAAUUAGCAAGGAUAUGUUUGAUUUGUUCUGUAGCUCCUGUCAUAAAAGGUUUUACUCUAUUUGGCUUCUGUUCUUCAAGUCUGCCUUUGAUUGAUUUCAUGUAGACUUUGAUGUACUUUUUGUAGGAUUCUUUUGUGAAGCUAGUUUCUUGCAGAUGAUGGUUUAUAACUAUAUCAACUCCAGUGAUUACAGUGGCAUGUGUUCCUUCACCCUCAGGACCUUCAGCAGAGGCAUUUCCACCAAUGAGUGAAUCAUCAAUGGUACCCUCUGUCCUACUGACCAUCUUCCCCUCCACCUCCAGGCACAGCCCAUUCGCGAUCUCCCAGAUCUUGUAAAUGUCGGAGAACAUCUCACCAUGGCUGAUGAGGUCCCGGUAGAUAAUCAUGGCGGUGGAAGGAGGGAGCGGUGGCACUACUGCUGCGGGGGCCCGGAGCUCGGUGUGAGCACGAUGCAGCCGGAGCGGCGCUUCGAUAUGAUUUCUUAAACAUAAUAGGAAAUCAAGAUAAACUUUUUCCAUAGCA